AGCAGAGCAGGGUCGUGGCCAACCUCUGCUAACGAGCUCAUCCCACCCCAAAAAACAAGAACAGGGAGGCAUUUGCUUCUCAUUCCAGACAGUAAGAGUCACAUUUCUGAAUGAUUUACUCCUGGGGUUGAGGGCUCGAUGCAAAUGAGCACAAAGGAAGUUGUCAGCAGCAUCGUGCUCUGGCCAAUGGAAGGAAAGCUCCAUCUUAGCUGUGCCAUAGGCUGCACUAAAAAAAGGGACCAGAACGGCGCUCUCUCAGCAUCCUUUCACACAAGAGCUCCCAAAUCUGUGCCAGUGAGCACACCCAAGCCAAGCAGCUCCUCAAGGAUGGCAACCCUCAACAGCACCCACUGGAAUGAAACUACUACAUCCAUCUCCCAGUAUCUGGGCUUCCAAGUGCAAAAAAUUUACCCUUUCCAUGACAACUGGAACACUGCCUGCUUUGUCAUCCUGAUCAUAUUCAUCUUCACUGUAGUUUCUCUGGUGGUGCUGGCUUUCCUGUAUGAACUGCUGGACUGCUGCUGCUGUGUGAAAAACAAAACUGUGAAGGACCUGGAGAACGAGCCCAAUCCUGUCAGAGCAAUGCUGAACAGCUUCAGGAAGCGAGACACAGAGGUGGUGUAGGAAGCACUGAGCAACUGCACUUGGAGAACUUGGUUUGACAUUUGACACCUGGAAUGAAGCCUCCUGUAGCUUACAAACAAGCAAGUUGUGUGCUUUUUUCUUUUGGAUUUAAAUAUCCACAGUGGCAAUUUUAUCUCUGGAUGUGAGUUGGAAUAAUUGGCAAAGGUUUUCCAAGUGCUCAGCAGAAAGACAAUCUACUGCAGUGUUAUGGGAGGGAAAAAGAUUGUUGUUUUUAGAUGAACUGUUGCUGUUUAUAUUGAGUGACUAGCAUAGAAUUUUGUCUACCUGACCGAACAAAUGCUGCCUAACAUGCAUAAAACUGUUGCUUAACUGAAGAAAACAUUUAUAAAAUGUCCAACAGUCUGAUCACAUUCCAUGCAAGGACAGCAGUGUUGUCCCACUGAGUCAACCACACAGGGACAGGACAGACAGACAAGGGGCUGAGCAUGACUAAGCUCCAGAAGAUCUGAAUACAGUGAAAGACUUGCUAAUUGACACUCUCCAUUGGGGAGAUGGAGUCACAAAACACCCAGGGCAGGAUGAACUAGCACAGCUAGUCCAGUGAUUCACCUGGAGAAGCAAACUCCCUCCUGCAGUCACAAAUCCCCACAGACACACUUCUUCAAGCCCAAAAUCAAAAGCACAACUGACGGAAGCCACUGCCCUGAGCACAAGAUCAUUUAGGACUCACACUGAGAUGGAUGAUGG